UACGGAGGGUGCAAGCGUUGUCCGGAAUCACUGGGCGUAAAGGGCGCGUAGGCGGCUCAUGAAGGCUGUGGUGAAAUCCCCGGGCUCAACCUGGGAACUGCAUUUGUGACUGCAUGGCUAGAGUACGGUAGAGGGGGAUGGAAUUCCGCGUGUAGCAGUGAAAUGCGUAGAUAUGCGGAGGAACACCGAUGGCGAAGGCAAUCCCCUGGACCUGUACUGACGCUCAUGCACGAAAGGCGUGGGGAGCAAACAGG
rnacentral:rRNA from 1 species